AGAAAGAGGGAAUAGAGAGAUGGAAACAUUGAUGAGAAAGAGACAUUAGUUGCUGCCUUCUGCACACCUCCGACUAGGGUUCAAACCCUCAACCCGGGCAUGUGCCCUAACUGAGAAUCAAGCCGAGGACCUCUUAGUUCAUGGGUCAACCACUGAGCCACACCAGUGCUGGGAUGCAGGCCCCUUGAGGUUACUGUCCCUGACAAAUGCUGGUUCAUGUUCUUCAUCGAGAGAUUUUUGAAGCUUGUGGGCAAGACCGAAGAAGCAGAAGCGUCGUUCUUAAAUGCUGAGGACAGAUUUGCUGCUGGAAACAAUUCUCUUGCAAACACAAAAUUUCGAGACUGCUUAACUCCCAGGAGAAGUGUUUGGGGGAGAAAAACAUCCUCGUUGGAGAAAUUAUGGAAUUUUUAGCAGAUUUACUGAUUAUCCAUUAAGAGAGAGUGGAAGACUCCAAAGGAAGAAAGCAAUUGAAUAUUAUAAACAAGUGAUAAAAAUAAAGGGAAAUGCAAGCCCUCUGGCCAACUCUUCACACGUCAGGAAGCAGCUGAGCAUCAACCUACGUGAUGCCUGUUGUAACACCAUGCUCAACCACAUUUCUCUCGUCAGUGCGUCCCAUCUUUCUUCAACUUCUGUUUAAGACACUUUGUAUAGGAAUAGGCUUUUCACGAAUAACCAUGACACGAAGUAACACGUGACCUGAAGUAACAAAUGGCACUUCACAUGGGCCCACCUUGGAUUUUACUUAUGGAAUGUAGGACUUAGUGCCUCAGACCCAACCCAGAGAUCCGAAGGUACUUUCUGAUUAAAGAUAAAAACUUAAAAACUUAAAAAUGAAAUUAAAGUUAAACACUGAAUUUAAAAAUGUGGUCUCCGAUCUCACUAGGAGGGGAAGUUGGGUCCGUCUACUCCUCUUGGUACUUGUUGGUUCUGUUAUUACUGUUUUGCUCCCCUUCCUGGUAGGAGUUCCCAUGGCUUCUCUGGAGUUUUUUCCACCGGAAUGUUGAUAUUAUCACCCGUGGUUUAUAGUGAAGGUUCAGUUCCUUCUUCGCUGGUACUAGUUCAGUUCGGUGGAUUUAUUCACACUGUAAGGGUGGUCUUCCAAGGUCACUAUUAAAGAACUCCUCAGAGGCCUCACGGGAGACAGGGCUAUGCUCCAGGCUCUGCUACUGCCAGGGCCAGAGUGGCUGGGCCUUAUCAUGUAUGACCUCAGUUCUUAUUUGGCCCAGCAGGCCAUUCGCUUAUUCUGCAGGUAGUGGCUACUCAGUGCCUGGAAUGUUGCUGCCAAACUUGGGAACUGAGGAGAAUGGAGAGUUGAAUUGGAGGCUGCAAAUAAUGUUGGGACAGUAAGCUGGAGACAGGCCACAGCUGGAGAAUGAGGUGGGGGUAGUCAGAGGUGUGGCAGUGCCUCCCAACCCUCUGAGGGUGGGUUACUGGUGUGCCAAAUAGAGACCUCUGAGCCCUUGGCCGGCUUUGCUUAUUUAUUCUAGCGGGCUAUACAAGAAAUAUUGUUUUCUAUAAGUACCUUGGGGCUUCAAAGGGGAAGAAGGUCAUUGAGGGAUG